CUGCACUAUAAAACACCCCCAUAAGUAAAGUGGAAAGGAAAGCUGCUGAUGAACCCUUGCUUGCCAUGGCUGUGCUGCUCUCUAGGACUUCAAAAUAUCUUCCGG
rnacentral:lncRNA from 14 species